GACGAACGCUGGCGGCGUGCCUAAUACAUGCAAGUCGAGCGGCAUCAGGAAGAAAGCUUGCUUUCUUUGCUGGCGACCGGCGCACGGGUGAGUAACACGUAUCCAACCUGCCCUUUACUCGGGGAUAGCCUUUCGAAAGAAAGAUUAAUACCCGAUAGCAUAAUGAUUCCGCAUGGUUUCAUUAUUAAAGGAUUCCGGUAAAGGAUGGGGAUGCGUUCCAUUAGGUUGUUGGUGAGGUAACGGCUCACCAAGCCUUCGAUGGAUAGGGGGUUCUGAGAGGAAGGUCCCCCCACAUUGGAACUGAGACACGGGUCCAAACUCCUACGGGAGGCAGCAGUGAGGAAUAUUGGGU
rnacentral:rRNA from 1 species